GGAAAAUGUGCUGAGGGGAAGUGGCUGCUUCCCCUGCACCCCACUAGCUACGCUACUGGGCAGGAGAUGCGACAGGAUUCUCUAUUGGGUUUAUUCUCCUCCACGGUAAAGUCUCCCUCGUUGUUCUACAGUUUCAAAUAUCCAGACAAUUUCUUUAACAACCCAGAUUUCUUUCCAGUUUGUGGUAAUUGAUUCCCCUGGUCACACAAGGUUUUCAUGAAUGGUGAUUUUAGUUUUUGCAUCAUGGUGUGUAGAGCAGCUGGUGUGGUAGAAUCCCAAGGUUUGCCAAAGAGUUGUUACAUUUUAAUUCAAGCCUUUGUCUUUGCAGAACAGCUUCCUUGUUGAGGUCCUGGUGCUUUCAAAUAAUACGACUGAACUACCCUUCGUUUUAGAGUCCAUUACAGCUGCAUCCUACACGAUGUACAUAGUGUUAUUCUUUUGUCCUUCCAUCGCAUGUGAAUGUGCAUUUGACAGUAUUAGGUGCACUCCACAUCGGAGCACCAGCCUCUUCUUGCUUUGUCUUAUGUCACUGCUAGAAAUAGUGAAACUCCUAUUCAGUUGGUCUGCACUGCCAUCCUGAGACACUAGGACGCUUUUCUGAAGUAUUGGGGGUUAGCCGUGGUACCAUUUGUGACUGAGACGAUCUUGCAUUCAGGCCCUGGCAGGUUAUGCAUUAGCUUUGCAAUUGUCUGAAAGCAGAGCUUCCAAAGUGGUGCACAGCCUGGCCGUGGUGUGGAAUAUUCUAGCCCUGCACUGGAGUGCUAUGGGAGAUAGCCCAGCUGGUAGACGUCUGUGAGUAUCAAAUUGCCAUUCAGGAAUUAGUGUGAGUAGUGAGGGAAUGUCAUGCCAAAUAAACUUUUUUGGGGUCGGUAAUGUUAGGUUACGCUUUUACCCAAUAAAUAUCUGUUAUGCAGCUGCCUACUUGGUGUGAGUUCCUGUUGCAAUAAGAUACCGCUGUAAUUCUGCCAAUAAUAGCUUUUAAACUUCUCUGGAUUUUUUUGAAGCUGUACAAUGCCUUCCCAUUCCUCAUGGAAAUCGGCCCAGGGCAACAUCAGAGGAUUUCCUGUAACUGGGAGGCGAUCAAGCAGUUUGUGAGGGAACAGAUCAGCUGCCACUUGGAGAGUGAUGACCUAGAGGAGCCGCUCGAUUUCAUGGACUGCUGAAUGAAAUAGAUCAUCUCACGCUGAUGCAUGUGGCUGGCAUAUUCUCUAUCAACCAAUGCAGGAUGGAGCUGACGGCACGUUCUUUGAAGAGAACCUGGUUUAUGUUUUCAUAGAUGGUGUUUUUUUGCUGGCCCUGAAACCAUUCUGCGUUGGGCACUGCUCUUUUUCUGCUGAAACAUCAUGAAGUGCAAGGCAAGUAAUAUGAAGGACCUCCAGGCAGGGUGGGAAAGAAUGGCUAAUGUUGCUGUCAAUCUCAGUGUAGAAUUUUUCUGGAAGGAGGAAGAGCAUGUCCCAGUUAUUCUCUGUGUGUUAUCUUUUGCCAAUAGACGUCUAUGCAUGAAAUGCUGUUUGUGCUGAAAUUUUGGCUACAUAAAAGGAGGAGGAACAGGAAAGAUAAACCAGAAGUAAUCUGUCUAAUACCAAUGUAGGACAAACAUGCAUCUCUGGGCCAAUUAUUAAUUGCUUGAGAGACUGAAUUUAAAAUGUAUUUCUCAGCUGAGCUGAAGGCUGGGCCAUUUAACAUUUGGCAGUUAGGUUAGUGCAAAAGUGGCAGUUAGCAUGGGAUUUCCCGGGUUGUUUUACACUAUAAUUCUCCCUGCCAACAUCACACCAACAGGGGUCCAUGGGGAUGUCCAGUUUCAUGGUUACCUAAUUCCUAAAGUAAGUAGUGGGUAGAGUUUAGCUUUUUAAAAAUCUUUGAUUCUUGUUUCAAGACAGUGUGAGAGCAGCUAGAAAAAAUCUGAAAUUCGGUGAUGUUCCCUCCCACUCACAUAAUGAAAUUCCCAGGCAGGUUCAUAGAUCCAAGAAUGAAGCUCUUCAGUCUGAACUUGGAAUUCUGGAGGCAGGUCAGUCCCAUGAGAUCAGGUAGGUUUUGCCCAACGAAGAGCUCACUUGCGUUAUUUCUGCCUCCACAGCAGUUCAGCUAGACAGACGAUUCUCUGCAGAUCCUUAGUACCUUUUCAUAUCACUUCUAAAAAAUAUUCAACCUCAGAAAAUUUCCUGUCAAAACCUAUUUGAAUCUCAUAACCGUAUUUGGCACCAAAAAUUGUUUUUAACUUGGCCCUCAGGAAUUUGAGCCUUUUAAUGCACAUUAUGAAAAGUUCUACUGCUCCAGAGACUGAUGCUUCUAAUUCAAUUAUCCUGUUAGCUCAGAGGUUUGCAGACACCGGUCUGUGGAGCAGCUGCUGCUGGUCAGCGGAGAGACAGCUCAUUGUGUAUUGCUGGCUGUCCUCGUUUCCAGCCGCUAACUGUAUGAACAUAGCAACAGAGGGUCCUGUGACACCUUUAAGACUAACAGAAGUAUUGGGAGCAUAAGCUUUUGUGGGUACUGUGGUGAUCUUGAAUAUGAAUUCUGUGACGUUUGAUCAGCAACACUGGGAGAACCCGAACCCUUCUUUCUUCAGCCCAGUUUCCUGGACUCAGAUGGAAAGUUUGUGGAGAAAGAAGCCUUUAUUCCCUUUUCCAUAGAUACAAUUACCCAUGCCAUUUUCUCUUAGCUCUGUGCAGGCCUACAUUUGGGACUAAAACAAGAGUAAACCUUUCUAUCUAUUACUUACCUGUUAUUCUUGAUCUCUGAUACCAACUCUUGGGCUUCUGCUGCCAGCACGUUACUGUGUUCGCAGUGCUCCAUAUCUAAAAUUCUGGGCUGUUAAGCACAGCACCCACAAGUGACCAGUACCUCCUCUAGUUGAUGCGGAGGAGUAAUGGUCAGUAACAGUUUGAACUGUUCUCUCCAGUUGAGUUGUUCUCGCUGCAGCUUUUUGCUGUUUGUUUCCCCAAGGGAAAUAUUUUUCUUCCAUUUUCCUUUUCACCAGGUUACUAGUUUAGUUUAGCUACGAAUUCUUUAUUAUCAUUUAAAAAAAAAACCCCAAACAUUUCCUCCGUUUACUGUGAGGCACCUGCAGCGUUGGUGAAGUCUGUAAUGGUUGUACAGCCCAAGGAGGGAGUGUUGUUGUAGCACAGUGUCAGAGGAAGAUUACAGUAGACACAGCUGGAGGGAAAGCGCUUGCCAGCUGCACUGCACUGAGUUACAACAGCCUCCGAAUAGACGGGCAUCUGAAGGCAGCAGGCUUGAACACUGAGCGCUUUAUUAAAUAAAUCCUGUGUGUGGAGAGUGCACACACAUCAGUGUAUGUUGUUCUGUCUUUACAGAUGCGUGAACCAUUCAGCUUUGUGUUCUCGGAUGAUGUAUUUUUCAGGGGAGUCUGGGGCCAGCAUGAACUUUUUAGUCUUUGCCUCACUGAUUUGGAGAGUCCACGUCCAACUUCGCAAGCUGAGCCUGAAAUACUAACUGGGGGUGAUCCUCUCUCUAGAACCUUACAGUCCCGUUGCAACUGAUGGAUGAGCCAAAUUUUAGAACUGAAUCAUUUUCAAGAGUCAUAAAUGUUUUCCAGAUUUAUUAGCAUAUGUUAAGUGUUUUACUGGGACUUUGAAGGACUUUGUGUGACUGGGACAGAGACGUCCAGCAACACAAGCUCAUUAAGCCAAAGGGUACCUGCAAUUCACUGGUUGCAGUUAGCCAAAUCAGCGGUCAGAUUUGAGGGCUUCUCUCAUCCCACCCUGUCCUCUGGUUGACAAACUGCUCAGAGAGUCUUGCGCUGGUCAAAUACCUUGUGUAAUUUAUUUGCAAUGUGGAUGCCCAUCUCCUUCACACUAUAUACAGCUCUGCUCCAAGAGUCUUAGGGAGCCCACAGCUCCUGCAACAAGCAGGGAAGGGCAAUCUCUCUCCUCCCCCUCUGUCUGUUUCCUCCCCCACACACACACUUCCUUCCUGUGCCUAUUUCUAGCCUCAGACUAAUGGUUUAAUUAGCCUUCCAGCUCCCCUCCAUCCACAAAUUAAGCAAAGCUCUGUUUAACUAGCUCCAUUCUGCAUUGUUUGAUUGGAGCUGCCGGGUUCUUGCCUAACACUCAGUCACAGUCCUUAACCUCAAAUAUUUAUUCCUUGUACUCAAGUAUCUUUUCCAAGGCAACUGCUGCUGCUCAGAAUCUUUCCUACUUCUUCUCAAUUACCACUUUACUUCCUAUCUGCCUCAAAUGAAAAAAACCCAACAACCCCAAACCCCAAAACUGCUCAUGCAAGCACGUUCACUCUGGAGACAGGACGUUCAAGAUGACAUUUUCAGGAUUAUUUGAUGGCCAACAGACUCAUGCUUCUUGCAGCGGAAAAGAAAUUCACUCUGGCACUGUGCUAUCCUUCCUCUGCUUGGAGCCAGUCAAUAUAUUGCAACAUUCUUGCAUUUCCAGUCCCCGUAGUUCAUGUACUGGCCAGAAGAGGGGGCCCUCGUCUUUUCUAGUGCACAUAUUACUAGGUUAAAAAGGGAGCAAUUGCUACUGAAAUGCAUUCAGUCAAGUGAAAGUCUGGGAUGUU